AGAGGCCCCAACUGAUAGUCCACGGCGUAAAGCGUGAUUAAAGGAUAUCUAUUACACUAGAGCCAAAAGCCCCCUAAGCUGUCAUACGCACCUGAAGGCCCGAAGCCCAACCACGAAAGUAGCUCUACCUAACAAGAACCCCUUGAACCCACGACAACUGAGACACAAACUGGGAUUAGAUACCCCACUAUGCUCAGUCAUAAACUUUGGUGAUAAAUUACACAUAUUGCCCGCCAGGGUACUACGAGCGCUA
rnacentral:rRNA from 1 species